rnacentral:lncRNA from 1 species
AGGGGUAGAAGAUGAUGUUGGGGUUAAAAACAGUUACGAUGUAAUUACCACCCGAAAAUCCUCGGAGAUCGUAUUUCCGAAAGAGAUAGUAAAAGGAAACAUGUAAUUUUCGUAAAAAAUAACCAAUACGAAGUUUUUAAGAAGAAGUAUCCUUUGAGAUUCAAACCGAACAAACCAAGCUCGAUCACCACGCAUACACGCCGUCCGGUCGCUAUGCAGCAACCAAACCCAAGCCAAGCUCGGUCGCUACGUAGCGAC